GCUGGGCGUGGUGGCACACGCCUGUAGUCCCAGCUACUCGGGAGGCUGAGGCAGGAGAAUCAUUUGAACCCAGGAGGUGGAGGUUGCGGUGAGCCAAGAUCGUGCCAUUGCACUCCAGCUGGGCAACAAGAGAAAAAUUCCAUUUCAAAAAAAAUGAAUAAAUUUGUUAGGUUUUUUUUCCCCCCGCCGAGACAGAGCCUUGCUCUGUCGCUUUGGUUGGAGUGCAGUGGUGUGAUCUCGGCUCACUGCAACCUCCACCUCCUGGGUUCAAGUAAUUCUCCUGCCUCAG
rfam:Homo sapiens chromosome 17, GRCh38 reference primary assembly.